GAUUAACGACAAUCUCGCACGUGUGGGUCACAUACAGAGUACUCGUUACUCAUUCAAACCCUCGGGAAGGUCUGAGAAAAAGCUGUGCUCUUGUUCGUAGAGUUCCAUGUUCUAGCCGGACAACCUUCUUGCGAAGGUGCAGGGGAAUAGAAAGAGUAUCGAAUGGAAUGUUAUCUGCCCAUGAUGCCCUUUGUGGGUUAGGCGUAAACUUCCAAAUACGAUUGGAACAGCCUCUGUAGCUUGCUUUUUGAGUACAAUCUGCGAGUUGUGGUUGGCGCUGUUUAGCUACUGCAAAACUCAAUUCAGACUAAUCUGUCGAAAAUC
rnacentral:RNase_P_RNA from 1 species